UCUAUAAUUUUACGUUCGCCCCAACAUACCCUCAAAGUUUUUGUUUUCCUGAGGCAUUCAGAUGAAUCAAAUCUGAGAAAUUGACUGAUUUAAGAUAUUUUGGGCUAUCAUUCAUGAGUUUCUUUUAUUAAUCUUAAGUUCUUGAAGUGGUAUAUGUUAAUCAUACUUAUAACUGUGUAUUAGGGAAAAUUUCUCAUGUGAUGCUAAAUUUAUAUUAUGCUCCCAAGUACUAAUUUCUGGUUCACUUUUUCCUCCGAUUGUUAUUUGCUUUCUGUUUGUUGCAAAGUUCUGUGUGUUCCAAUGGGAUUAUCACUUUGAUUUCCUACUUAUUAUUCUAUAUACUUUUUUAAUAUGAUACAAUUUUGUGCUAUUUCAAGUUCAAUUCACAUUUACUUACUUGGUCGAUAUAACUGAAACAUUUGUUGCCUAGAACAUGUGUUAAAAUCAGGCAUACAUAAAAAAAUAAUUAAAAGGUGCUAAAUGGGUUUGUUGGAUUGACAAAUUGAUAAUUGGAAUUUAUUCUUUAUUAUAUAUGUGAACUUAUAUUUUUAAUUUGAGCUUAUUUGUUCUUUAAUGUUCACUAAAGUAGGGAAGAAUUUCCAUAAAAUUGGCGCAUAUUUAGCAGCUACAUGUUCUCUUUGUAAUUUAGCUUAGUAGGUAUUGCUCGACACCUCCAAUUUUCAUUUGGGUGUGAAGGAACCUGAAUCGCGUACUACCAAUUGUUUAGGAUUGAACUUGAACUUAUAAGUAAAGGAAUCUUUGAGGCUGCAAUGAAAAUGAAAGACCAGGUGAUCCUAACAUGGUUAUGGAACUUGGUUGAACAAGGAAAAUAAUAUGCUGCAAGAACAUCCUACAAAAGAGGAGAAACAAAAUCGAAAAAAAUGAGGCAAAUGGCUAACCUACAAUUUUUUUUUAUCACAAUACGCAAAAAUUCUAUUUGGCUAGAGGCAUACACCCCUGAUAUUGCAGAAUCAUGGUUUGAAACUUACACAACAAGUUGGCACAAAAAUCGUUAUCCGUUGCAGCCUGUUUCAUGGAAUUGUACUUGCACAUGAACCAAAUCAAUGUCUCAGAGCUAAUUUCGACAUUUCAUAUGACUUGUUUACUUUGUCCUUGGGUAGUUACUUUUCAAAGUUCAGGAAAUAGGCCUGAGAAGUGAUCGUUUUCGAGUACAUUACAAGUUUCUCACAACUGAUCGUUCUCCCACUAUAUUAGAAACAUAAGCUGGCUUUGGAGUCAGGAAUAGAAAACGAUGGAAUUGGGAAAGACCAUGGAGGUUGCCAUUGCUGGUCUGCAGAUUUUCUAAGAGGUAGCAUUAUUUUUAUCUAAUUGUACUUUGCUUUUAAUUUUGAAUUUUUCUUUUCAUAUUUUAGCUUCUGGCUAUUAAGAAUCACGGAAAUGGACCAAGUGUUUCUUGUGGAUUUUACUCAUGAUACUUUUUAUGGUUAUGUGACAUCUGGAUCUAGAAUGUUUUCUCUUUACCUCAUGUCGUGUUUCUGUCGUGAUUGUAUGUGACAGCUGGAUCUACAUUGUUUACUAUUUACGUCAUGUCAUGUUUCAGUUGCUUGAUUUGUAGUAGCUUUUACAUAAUGCAUUUUUUCUCCUUACUGGCAUGUGGGAAACUGAAUCAAGAUAUUUUUGUGAGCUUUCAAAAAAAAUUACUGGAAAGAAGAUUGUUGACUUUCAAUAGAUGGCAUUCCGUCUAAUUAGUUUCACUCUUGUUAAAUAAAGCUCAUAUCCCCAAAUGGUCAUGCGAAAGGGACAUAAUCGAUUGGCCCUCUGUCUCUCUCUCUCUUUGUUGAUGUACGAUUGAGGAGGAAAGGAAGCAGAUCCAUUUUGAGCCUGUUAUAUAAUCCCAAAUACCUAUCAUCAGUAUAAAAUGCUUCUCUGUCUUCUCCUUCAGGUAAUUUUGGUAGGUCGCAGUAGUAGGUUCUUCUGUUUUCUAUGCAUUGGAUCUUUCCCCACAGAAAAUUGCGAAAGCCGUAUUUCUUUAUGCUACAAUGAUAUCUAAUGGACGACAGAGGUUUUUUGAUGUGUUUGCCAAAGAGGUACAUAUCCUAUACAUCUGAAAAUGUGAAAAUAUUUGGAACCAUUCACACUAAGUUCCUGAUUUACUAUCCUGUUGAAUUUAAAAUCUAUUUUUAUUUUAUAGUAAUGCAUUGUCUAAAAGUACUUAUUUUGGUUGAAGUUAUAUAGGAGACGUUGAGCAGAAUCAAAAUAGGUCCAGUGUGCAUGUGGAAAACGGAUACAGAUACCACAUCAUGAGUAGCCUCAUGAUUUUCCCAAGUCAUGGUUCCUGGAAGUGCCAUUUCAUUUUGAUUGAGGUUUCAUAAAAUUGUUAUACUAUAUUUGUUGCAUAAAGGGCUAAGAGUAAUAAAAAUAUGCAGAAACAAAAUACAUUAAUUGUGGAACACAUGUCAGAAAGUAAAUAUUUAGCGGGGAGAAUCCAAUGUCCCCCUUUUAAAACAAUUUACUUUUUCUUCAAUAUGCAACAUCAGCACCAGCUUUAGAACUCUGAAGUUAGGCAACUUCUUUAUACUAGUAGAACUCUUAAAUGUGCUACUGUAUUCCCUUUUCAUACCUACUUUGAAAUGCUUUACUUAAGUUGAGCGUCUCUUGGAAGCAACCUCUUUACCUUCACAAGGUAGGCGUAAGGUUUGCAUAUCAUUCUCCCAAGACCCCACGUGUGGAAUUACACUUGGUAUGUUGUGUCGUCUUUGUAUGAGCAGAAGUCAUCCCUAUACAGCAUUGGGUUAUUUCAUUUGUAUUUGAAGUACAGCUAAUAAUAUCAAAAAACCUAUAAAAAUGAUCCUUUUCUUUUGGUAACAAGUUUCUGUGGUGUACUACUUCUUCUCUAACUUUGAGCCUUACCAAGUUUUCUUCGCUGAGAACAUGUUCAAAAUGUUUCUUAUUCCAACAACUGAAUUUUCUGUACUAAUUGGAAAUUACCUUUUCACUUGUUAAACUAGAAGUGUUAACUAUGAUGAUAUAAUAUUUGAUUACAUGAAGUUUUAGGCUAGACGACAGAUUAUUGAGCCGAAUUAAUCAAAAAGCAUAGAUAAGCCUAUCAAUUGGCCCAACGAACUUGGAACUGAGUCAGAUUGAUCAUUGUUCCCAGGGUCUAAAGCUUUCAACAGCUGCUAUUUCACCCGAAAGAGACAAAAAUGUCCAGUCUGGCAUGACUCUGGUAUGAGAACUUAUAUGGCAAGGUGAAAAAACUUUCGCCUCUCAUUACUUUUAGUAUAUCUAAUUCCGGAACAAGAUUUCUAACCUUUGGCUUUAACUGGAGUGAUAGUGUAAGUUUGGUUGGACUUCCAUUACUAUACCAUCUUACUUUUCAUGGCCUGCAAUGAGAACGUGUAUCGCAAGGUGAAAGAAAUUUCGCUUCUCAUUUACUUUUAGUAUUUUCUAAUUCAAAAACAAGACUUCUAACAUUUAGCUUUAACUAGAGUGAUAGUGUAAGUUUGGCUGCACUCCAUUUCUACACCAUUUUGUUUUUCUUGCAGUAAAGAACAAUGAAGUUUCAACAUCCAAUACUCUCAAUCAAGAAAUUGAAAGCUGGUAAAAAUUAGCUUAAAUAUUCAUUCCACAUCUAUGAAUGGUCUAGGAUAUUUGAACUUGUUACUAUGUCGUGUUGCAUCUCAAUGAGAAAGUUUAGGAGUAGUUGUACACGGUAAACUGCGUUGAGAUGCUGGCUUUAUUUUCCUAACUGACGAGUAUUACCUAUACUAAUGUUAUGUUCUUAUUUUAGCUUGGUUUUGAAAUGGAAUUUUCAUUUCCCUA